CACCGCGCCCCGCGCCAGCCCUCAGACAAAGCCUCGGACCCCGGGCCCGCCCGGCCGCCCACCCCGGGACGCGCCCCGGCCCGCGCCUACCUUGAUGCCCUGCUGCUGCGUGGUGAGGGUUAACUUGGACUCGUUCAGCAGCAGCACUUCGCAGUAGAAUUCCUCGGGAACGGCGCAGAAGCAGCCCAUGUCGGCCGCGGCCGUCUCCGGCCGGCAGAGGAAGCCGCGACCCAGGCGCCGAGCCGCCCCCUCCCCUCAAGCGUGAGGCAUUAAUUCACGGUCCGCGCGGCGGCCGGCGCGACAAGACCGGUUCCGGCGGGGUCCAGGGCCACGCGGACGAGCCGCCCGGCGCCCGCGGAGGUAAGAAGGGCGGAGCAGCCCGCGGACUCAGCGCCCGGGAGCCGCCGGGGCAGCGCCGGCGGAACUGAGCGCGGAGGGCGGCGGCGCGUCCCCGCGCAUCCUGCGGCUCGGGCCCCUCCCGCAGUCCUGGGGACGACGAAAGUCGCUUGGCAGUGGGGGCGAGAAACGGGAAAAGGGAGGGACGGAGCUCGAGGCCCUCCCCAGACGAGGAGCCCCGGGAGCCGUGCAGCCCCUCAGCCGGUGCCGCCCGGAGCGCGGCCGCGACACCCGGCCUUCCUUCCCUGAGGAGACCCCGGCGGGCUCCCACCCCCAGCCCCCGGUGCGGCCCGCCGAUCCGGGAGCACUCGGCUGCUCCUUUGUGUCAGGGGCACCCACGACGUCCCGGUUCCUCUGCAGGGCCGGCGGGGGGGGGUCGUCGCUCAGGCAGCUCCCUCCGCCAGCGCGUCCCGCGGGCACCCAGCAGCCCCGAGAGCGUCGGAAAGGGCAGCGCGCUCCUCACCCAGACCCGCGAGGGCAAGUCAGCUCUUGGCGGGGCGCGGCCGCCGUCUGGGGACCCGGGAGCUCAUCCUGGGGGGCUGCGCGUGGCCAAGUUCGAGCUCGCUCUCCGAGAGCGCCUUGCUGUGGCGGCGGAGGGGGGCUCCUCCGGGAGAUUCGGGCGAGUGGGGAGUCGGAGGGCUUGCGGGCGCGCCGGCGGGCGGAGCAGCGGGAGCCCGAGCUGGGAACGCGCCGGCGGGCG
rnacentral:lncRNA from 1 species